AUACUUACCUGGCAGGGGAGAUACCAUGAUCACGAAGGUGGUUUUCCCAGGGCGAGGCUUGUCCAUUGCACUCCGGAUGUGCUGACCCCUGCGAUUUCCCCAAAUGUGGGAAACUCGACUGCAUAAUUUGUGGUAGUGGGGGACUGCGUUCGCGCUUUCCCCUG
rnacentral:snRNA from 1 species